GCAUUAAUGGGGUAGUGGUAACCUGGGUCGUUGCCAUGUUUUCCAAGUGGAGUUCGACCCGCCGGGGGUUCAAUUCCCCCUUAAUGCA